CGGCCGCCCUAGCGUGAGGGUGCUAAGGUAGCGAAAUUCCUUGCCUUUUAAUUGUAGGCCUGCAUGAAUGGUUUGACGAGGGCUUAACUGUCUCUAGUUUGUAAGUCUAAAUUGGAUUAAAGGUGAAGAUACCUUUAUAAAAAAGUCAGACAAGAAGACCCCGUGCAACUUUUAAAGUCAACUUGUUUAGGAGUUUCAGAUUUUUAGGUGGGGCGCCUAUUAAGUAAUAUUAACCUUAGUGUAUGAUAAAACUUUCAAGUAUAGACCCGACAAUGUCGAUCAUAGGAGAAGUUACGCCGGGGAUAACAGGCUAAUCCACUAGUAGAGAACGUAUUGGCUAGUGGGAUUGGCACCUCGAUGUUGAAUCAGGGAUGAUACCUCUAAGGCGUAGAAGCUUUGGAAGUGGGUCUGUUCGACCUUUAAUACCCUAC
rnacentral:rRNA from 1 species